UCGGGAAUUUUGGGCAAUGGGCGAAGGCCUGACCCAGCAACGCCGCGUGAAGGAUGAAGUAUUUCGGUAUGUAAACUUCGAAAGAAUAGGAAGAAUAAAUGACGGUACUAUUUAUAAGGUCCGGCUAACUACGUGCCAGCAGCCGCGGUAAUACGUAGGGACCAAGCGUUGUUCGGAUUUACUGGGCGUAAAGGGCGCGUAGGCGGCAAUUCAAGUCAUCUGUGAAAUCUCCGGGCUUAACUCGGAACGGUCAGAUGAUACUGCUUUGCUAGAGUGCAGAAGGGGCAAUCGGAAUUCUUGGUGUAGCGGUGAAAUGCGUAGAUAUCAAGAGGAACACCUGAGGUGAAGACGGGUUGCUGGGCUGACACUGACGCUGAGGCGCGAAAGCC
rnacentral:rRNA from 1 species